rnacentral:rRNA from 1 species
UUAGUAACUGCGAGUGAAGUGGGAAGAGCUCAAAUUUGAAAUCUGGCGGUCUUUGGCUGUCCGAGUUGUAAACUAGAGAAGUGUUACCCGUGCUGGACCAUGUAAAAGUCUUCUGGAAUGGAGCAUCAUAGAGGGUGAGAAUCCCGUCUUUGACAUGGACACCAGUGCUUUGUGGUACACUCUCGAAGAGUCGAGUUGUUUGGGAAUGCAGCUCCAAAUGGGUGGUAAAUGCCAUCUAAAGCUAAAUAUUGGCGAGAGACCGAUAGCGAACAAGUACCGUGAGGGAAAGAUGAAAAGAACUUUGGAAAGAGAGUUAAACAGUACGUGAAAUUGCUGAAAGGGAAACGCUUGAAGUCAGACACAUUGGCUAGAAAUCAACCUUUGCUAUUGCUGGGUGUAUUUUCUGGUUGAUGGGCCAGCAUCAAUUUUGAUCAUUGGAUAAAGUCCUAGGGAAUGUGGCAUCUUCGGAUGUGUUAUAGCCUUGGGUCGCAUACAGUGAUUAGGAUUGAGGAACUCAGCACGCCGCAAGGCCGGGUUUCGACCACGUUCGUGC